GAGAGAGAGAGAGAGAGAAAGAGAAAGAGAAAGAGAAAGAGAAAGAGAAAGAGAAAGAAAUAUUCGGGUAACUUCAGUUGUGUUGGGAGAUCAAUAGGGCUUUAAAAUUCUAUAUUUUUUUAGUAGAGGGUUUUAUGGCGCUCACAACUGCAUACGGUCAUAUGAGCGCCAAAAUAGGGCUUUACGUUGGUUCGGUUUGAUGGCCUCUUUACUCAUAGGAGAUAGGGGCUCUUAAAGAAUGGGAUUGUAAAAUAUUUACUAUAUUUGCAGAAGAAUUGUGUAGGAAGUCGCAUUUGCAUAGUGAACAAUAUCAGCAAGCUCAUUGUAAAUAACUUCAGUAAAUAGCAUAUAAUAACUGUAUUAUUUUUCUGUGCAACGCUUUAGAUGCCAUCGUGUUAUUUAUUUUCUUCCAUUUUGCACUUGUUUCUUUUCUUUUAAAAAAAAUUCUAUUUUUACUCUUCGCCGCUUCAGUCUAAGUAUGCUUUUCCUGUUCUUCGGGAUCUCGAGGUGCGGCCAUCUCGUCACGGGCAACUGGAUUUAUGCCCGUGUUACCAGAGAGAAUGCAACAGGUCGGAGCUGUCAAGUGUGUCCUGGCUGUGUGUGUGUGUGUGUGUGUGUGUGUGUGUCGUGUGCCUGCAGAAAGGGGCGUUUUCUCGUAUGGAAAGAACGAAUGUUCUCCUGCUUUUAAGGAUCCAUAUUGUUUAGAUUGUUUUGUUGAAUGAGCGUACUCGGAAUUCUUCGUGCUGAUUGAUUGUGGCCACUAAAUUCCUGACAGUAAAAAUACAUGACAGUUAAGCACACCUGACUUUUUUAUGCGUCUAUGCUUCGAGGAUACGGUUGACUUAUUCGACUCUGCAGGGCUGAACCCAUUUACAUUACAAAAACUGUUGUCCCCGAUGGAUAUGUUUUUCAGUGGAAAAGGAAAUUUGGAUUAAAACGAAGAUGGAAACUCAAGUAAA